AAGUCGUAACAAGGUCUCCGUUGGUGAACCAGCGGAGGGAUCAUUACUGAGUUCUACAAAAACUCCCACCCUUUGUGAACCGUACCGUCGUUGCCUCGGCGGUGAGCAGCUAGCUACCUUAGCGUUCGCUACCCGGGAGGACCUACCCUGUAGACGUUUUAGCAUCUACCCGGGAGAACCUACCCUGAAGCACUUAUGCUCCGCCGAUGGAUUAUUCCACUCUUGUUUUACAGUGUAUCUCUGAAUUAUAACUAAUAAGUUAAA
rnacentral:misc_RNA from 1 species